UACGUAGGGUCCGAGCGUUGUCCGGAAUUACUGGACGUAAAGAGCUCGUAGGUGGUUUGUCGCGUUGUUCGUGAAAACUCACAGCUCAACUGUGGGCGUGCGGGCGAUACGGGCAGACUAGAGUACUGCAGGGGAGACUGGAAUUCCUGGUGUAGCGGUGGAAUGCGCAGAUAUCAGGAGGAACACCGGUGGCGAAGGCGGGUCUCUGGGCAGUAACUGACGCUGAGGAGCGAAAGCGUGGGGAGCGAACAGG
rnacentral:rRNA from 1 species